rnacentral:rRNA from 1 species
AGAUUAAGUUAUUAAGGGCGCACGGUGGAUGCCUUGGCACUAGAAGCCGAUGAAGGACGUUACUAACGACGAUAUGCUUUGGGUAGCUGUAAGUAAGCGUUGAUCCAGAGAUUUCCGAAUGGGGGAACCCAGCAUGAGUUAUGUCAUGUUAUCGACAUGUGAAUUCAUAGCAUGUCAGAAGGCAGACCCGGAGAACUGAAACAUCUUAGUACCCGGAGGAAGAGAAAGAAAAAUCGAUUCCCUGAGUAGCGGCGAGCGAAACGGGAAGAGCCCAAACCAACAAGCUUGCUUGUUGGGGUUGUAGGACACUCUAUACGGAGUUACAAAAGAACAUGUUAGACGAAUCAUCUGGAAAGAUGAAUCAAAGAAGGUAAUAAUCCUGUAGUCGAAAACAUAUUCUCUCUUGAGUGGAUCCUGAGUACGACGGAGCACGUGAAAUUCCGUCGGAAUCUGGGAGGACCAUCUCCUAAGGCUAAAUACUCUCUAGUGACCGAUAGUGAACCAGUACCGUGAGGGAAAGGUGAAAAGUACCCCGGAAGGGGAGUGAAAGAGAACUUGAAACCGUGUGCUUACAAGUAGUCAGAGCCCGUUAAUGGGUGAUGGCGUGCCUUUUGUAGAAUGAACCGGCGAGUUACGAUCUGAUGCAAGGUUAAGCAGCAAAUGUGGAGCCGCAGCGAAAGCGAGUCUGAAUAGGGCGUUGAGUAUUUGGUCGUAGACCCGAAACCAGGUGAUCUACCCUUGGUCAGGUUGAAGUUCAGGUAACACUGAAUGGAGGACCGAACCGACUUACGUUGAAAAGUGAGCGGAUGAACUGAGGGUAGCGGAGAAAUUCCAAUCGAACUUGGAGAUAGCUGGUUCUC